GACGAACGCUGGCGGCGUGCUUAACACAUGCAAGUAGAACGGAAAGGCCCAGCUUGCUGGGUGCUCGAGUGGCGAACGGGUGAGUAACACGUGGGUGAUCUGCCCCUAACUUCGGGAUAAGCUUGGGAAACUGGGUCUAAUACCGGAUAGGACAAUCGUUUAGUGUCGGUUGUGGAAAGUUUUUUCGGUUAGGGAUGAGCCCGCGGCCUAUCAGCUUGUUGGUGGGGUAAUGGCCUACCAAGGCGUCGACGGGUAGCCGGCCUGAGAGGGUGGACGGCCACAUUGGGACUGAGAUACGGCCCAGACUCCUACGGGAGGCAGCAGUGGGGAAUAUUGCACAAUGGGCGCAAGCCUGAUGCAGCGACGCCGCGUGGGGGAUGACGGCCUUCGGGUUGUAAACCUCUUUCGACAGGGACGAAGCUUUGGUGACGGUACCUGCAGAAGAAGCACCGGCUAACUACGUG
rnacentral:rRNA from 1 species